rnacentral:tRNA from 1 species
GGGGUUGUGGUUCAGCGGUAGAGCAUUCGCCUACUAUGUGAAGACCCUGGGUCCAAUCCUCAGCACCACA